rnacentral:rRNA from 1 species
GAAUAUUGGACAAUGGGCGAAAGCCUGAUCCAGCCAUGCCGCGUGAGUGAAGAAGGCCUUAGGGUUGUAAAGCUCUUUCACCUGCGAAGAUGAUGACGGUAGCAGGAGAAGAAGCCCCGGCUAACUCCGUGCCAGCAGCCGCGGUAAUACGGAGGGGGCUAGCGUUGUUCGGAAUUACUGGGCGUAAAGGGCUCGUAGGCGGCCAACUCAGUCGGAUGUGAAAUCCCCAGGCUCAACUUGGGAACUGCAUCCGAUACUGGUUGGCUUGAAUCCGGGAGAGGGAUGCAGAAUUCCAGGUGUAGCGGUGAAAUGCGUAGAUAUCUGGAGGAAUACCGGUGGCGAAGGCGGCAUCCUGGACCGGCAUUGACGCUGAUGAGCGAAAGCCAGGGGAGCAAACGGG